UACGUCGGGGGCUAGCAUUGUUCGGAAUUACUGGGCGUAAAGCGCACGUAUGCGUACCUAUUAGUUGAGGGUGAAAUCCCGGGGCUCAACCCCGGAACUGACUUCAAUACUGUUGGUCUAGAGUCCGAGAGAGGUGAGUGGAAUUCCUAGUGUAGAGGUGAAAUUCGUAGAUAUUAGGAAGAACACCAGUGGAGUAGGCGGCUCACUGGCUCGGUACUGACGCUGAGGUGCGAAAGCGUGGCGAGCAAACAGG
rnacentral:rRNA from 1 species